rnacentral:rRNA from 1 species
UACGUAGGGUGCGAGCGUUGUCCGGAAUUAUUGGGCGUAAAGCGAGUGUAGGCGGUGUGGUAAGUCGGAUGUGAAAGCCCCGGGCUCAACCCGGGAAGUGCACUCGAUACUGCCACGCUAGAGUAUCGGAGAGGUUGGUGGAAUUCUCGGUGUAGAGGUGAAAUUCGUAGAUAUCGAGAGGAACACCGGUGGCGAAGGCGGCCAACUGGACGAAUACUGACGCUGAGACUCGAAAGCGUGGGGAGCAAACAUG